UACGUAGGAUGCGAGCGUUAUCCGGAAUUACUGGGUGUAAAGGGAGCGCAGGCGGGACUGCAAGUUGGAUGUGAAAUGCCGCAGCUUAACUGCGGAGCUGCAUCCAAAACUGUAGUUCUUGAGUGGAGUAGAGGCAAGCGGAAUUCCGAGUGUAGCGGUGAAAUGCGUAGAUAUUCGGAGGAACACCAGUGGCGAAGGCGGCUUGCUGGGCUCUAACUGACGCUGAGGCUCGAAAGUGUGGGGAGCAAACA
rnacentral:rRNA from 1 species